GUCUCGAUGGCGAAGUGCUUACGAACGCUCGUCUGGUGAGCGGGAGGUCUUGGGUUCGAAUCCCAGCCGAGGCA
rnacentral:tRNA from 1 species